AAACCAUGAUGAGGGCAUUAAGAACAGUAGCCCUUGAACCUCUCCCAUGCUUCACUGAAGCUCUCUAGACCUUUCUGUUGAAACCAAGAGAUUUCAUUCCUGAUCUU
rfam:Brassica oleracea var. oleracea cultivar TO1000 chromosome C2, whole genome shotgun sequence